GCAGGGAAGAUUCUAGCUGUGGUUCGGUUUGUCUGCAACAAAUUAAAACGAAGUUUCACAAGCGUUUCAACUGCUAAACUUCAAUUGAAUUCAUCCUUUUAGUAAUCA